rnacentral:rRNA from 1 species
AUAAUUUCGAUGAUGAGCAAACUUGGUCAGGGUAUGAUCAUAGCUCCGUAUGAACGCAUUAUUUUUUUGACCUAACACAUGCUGAUCGAUUAAAAUUUAAUUUUAAUUGGUAAUGGGGUGAGUGUGCUCGGGACCUGACUAUAUGAGUUGAAAGAAGAUUCAUAGGUGGGGGCUUCGGUGUAGUUUAGAAGGACGGUAGAGGUGACGGCCUACCGAAUCGAUGUUCUAGAGCUAUUAAGGCCACAGUGGCAUAUUCAGAAAGGCCAUCUUAAAUUGCGAGCUGCAGUGAGGAAUCUUGGGCAAUCUGGGAAACCUGGACCCAGUCAAAAAAAGAGAGAAAUCUCCUAAGCUCUAUUUAGAAUGAAAAUAGAGUGUAGUACAGUAGUGUCCAAUUAUGUGCCAGAAGACUCGGUAAUGCAUAGUACUGCGCGCGUUAUUCACAUUUAAAGGGCAUCUGGUAAGGCGGUUGUUAUAAUAAA